ensembl:lncRNA
CAUUUUGAAUGCUUAGCAGGACAUGAAAAUUGUCUAAUUCACACACUUAUCAAGAGAACAUCCCUGGUCAUCCCUACUGCCUCUGAUCUGGCGGACUCACUAAACACUUGCCUCAUUUGUAAAUUAUGAGUGUUGGAGUAUGCCCCUGGCUAUCUGUAAAUGUAAAAAACAAGAAAAUUGUGCCGUAUGGUUUGAUUUAAUUACAAGGAAUUUGAAAUAAUAUAUACUUUUACUUUUGAUAAGUAGAUUUAAAACCAAAUACUUUUGGACUUUUACUCAAGUAGGAACGUACUGGGCGACUUUCACCUCUACUUGAGUCAUUUUCUAUUAAGGUAUCUUUACUUUUACUCAAGUAUGACAAUGGGUACUUUCCCCACCACGGAUGUUAUCUCCCUUGCUGUCUUUUGUCCAGAAACAGGCUAUGAAUGGGUGGGCUGCCUGUAAAUGGACUGACCAGGAGAUGACAUGUGUUGGUAAAGUAGGGUGAUAUCUUUAAAACACUGAUUAUGGUUAACGUAGUAAGUUUACUUUCGGUUUUGGAUGCAAUUGUGUGUGACGGAUGUAACCGAACUAUGAGCAAUGCUCUUUUUGCUCCGUUAGCCCACUACUAUAUUACUACCUCCAAUGAUUUCCAGUUAACUACUUCAGUGGCAUUCCAGAUUAACUCGUCAUUAGCAGCGGAUAAGAUCCCCAAAUGUAGGAAUUACCCCAGAAUAUCUGUAAAUUGCUUUGGUCCUGGAGCUAGCAAGUAAAGGCUCUCCUGAGCCGUCCCGACUACGGUCUGGAGGCGCAGCGGGAAAGGUAACGCAGGUCUCCCUGUGAAGGGCCAGGUCAAUAUUGUGUACUGCAGGCUGAGGAAGCUGAAGGCCCACGUCUUGGAGAGCGCUAGGGAAGGGGCUGUGUUCUGGCCUAACCACUGGAGAGUCCAGCUGUGCCCCUGCGUCAGUUGCAAGAGGGGGCCUGCUGGAUGAGUCAGACACUGUCCUAGCCUGUGAGAACUGAGGCACUACAGAGCAAGGAACUGCUAGUCUCAGGCCUGGCAUAAGCAGACGGUUGUACUCUGGACAGCAUUCAGCAACUGGAGAUUGUUUAACUUAAGGAUGGGGACAAUCUUUUUCAUUUAUUUGUUUGGCAGCUAUUAACUGUAGAUGUAACCUAACACAGGGUUUAUACCAUUUGAUGAAAGUAAAAUGUUGUUUCUUCUAUCUCUGAGUUAAUUGAGAAGGAGACUGAACUGAUGGCUUUCCUACAGCAGAUUGCUGAUGAAGGAAAGGUCAUCACAGCAGAAGCCAUCCACCAAUUAUUUGGGGAGCUGAUGAAGAAGAGGCAACAGAUGAACAGCUGAUGUCAUUCUGCCCCACGGUGUCCUGUUGUUUACUUGUGCAAUUUUGUAAUGUUACUUUGGGUUCAUAGCAAAAGUUCUGUCCACCAAACACCUUCUGCUUUAAAUAACAGUGCUGCUAUAAAAUAUGCUGUUACUGAGGUUUAUGAAGUUGAAAGUUUUGCCAAAAAAGUUGUUCUCGAAUUGCUCUCCAUGGAUUUCAAAUGGCGUUCCAUGUCUCAUGAGAAGCUGAAGUAGCAUGCUGUUAGCAGGCUUGGAGAGAUGCUGAUGGAAUCUAGUCAUUUUAGUCAUGGACUUACUGUUAUUUGGUCAAUUAUGUCUUAGUUGUCAUUAGAAUUUCAUAAUAAUGUGACACCUGAUGAGGAUGCACUGCCUUUCAUAUUGAAACAGAUCCAGUAUGUGACCAUUUUAUGUUGUCACUAGCAUUCCUGUUAAUUAAACAUUUGAAUAGUUCAUCCAGCAUACUCCGUGACGUGAUUAUGUGGCUACUUGUCCUCCAAAUACCAGAAGGUACUUCUUAAAAAAAAAUAUUAAAAAACUUUUUACCC